ACUGUAUCCAGUGUUCUGCAGCAUCCGGUGCCACCUCAAAGAACACCUUCUUCUAGCUGGGCAUUGAAAGCCUCAGGGACGACGAGGUGCAGCAACUUGGGUGGAAGCAGUUCAACUACAUGAUGAAGAAUUGAGUGAAGGGGUUAAGACGGUUGCGUUGUGCAUGCGCUGCUUGCUUGCCGCGGGACUUGCUUAUGGAGACAUUUGCAGCUACAGAGUAAAUAUGGGAGCUCUAGCAAAGCCUUGGCUUCUCAUCUAUAUCACACUUCAUGUUUAUUGCACUGGAAGAGC